rnacentral:rRNA from 1 species
ACUUUCAACAACGGAUCUCUUGGUUCUCGCAUCGAUGAAGAACGCAGCGAAAUGCGAUAAGUAAUGUGAAUUGCAGAAUUCAGUGAAUCAUCGAAUCUUUGAACGCACAUUGCGCCCCUUGGUAUUCCGAGGGGCAUGCCUGUUCGAGCGUCAUUACACCACUCAAGCAUCGCUUGGUAUUGGGAACGGUCCGUCGAAAGGCGGG